CCCUACCCACAUGGUCCCCCAAGCACGUUUUUUUUUUCUCUCUUUUUCCUGAGAAGAGAUAUAUAGAAGGGGCUUCUUUUCCUCAUGGGGAGGACACAUACAGAGAGGGAAAAGAAAGAAAAAACUCUCCAUGGUUCCAAUUUUCCUAACGAUACAAACACAUACAUAUGCAAAAAUCACACACACACACGAGAAUCAAAGAUAUUAAGAAGUGUCAACAGCGACAGAGAGUGAGAGAUAGGUCGAGAAAGCCAAAGUAGUGAGGAAAAAGGAAAAAAAAUGGACUGAGAUUCGAAAAAGGGCGGAUCGGAACAGUGAUACCGGCGAUAAAUCCGGUUUAUUUCGUGUUUUCUGGCGAAAUUUUCGCCAUAAUCGGUUCAAAUUCAUCGGGACGACUCACCCAGUCCCAAAAUCCCCCCCCCCCCAAAAAAAAAUCCCUGAGUUUCCUCCACCUUUAGGCAUAAUCUCGGCGGAAAACGCUAAAGUAGCCGGACUCCGACUCUUUUCCGUCGAUUCUUCUCGCCAUUCGAGUCUACCGGAGCUUUAGUCGUGGUUUUGUUUUGGUUCUUCCAUUUUUUCUGGUUUUGCGUGGACGGCUGUUCUUCGGGAUUCUAGUUCGACUCGAAUUUUGAGAUCAGUUUUUUUUUUUAUCGAGUUGGUUCGUCGUUGAGUGUUCUAUUCAGGAUUCUAAGUACGGUCCUUCUUAAAUCUUAUUACCGAUGAUACCGGUUCUUCAAAGAUUGGGUUGGUUGUCCCGAUUCGCGUUGUUCCAUUACUGGUUGGUACAUGUUUCUAGGCAUAUCCUUGAUAUCUUGGAAAUGUAAGAAACAAUCCCGUACAUCUAAAUCUUCUAUGGAGGCUUAGUAUCGGGCUACGUCGGCAGCAAGUUCGAAAAUUGUUUGUCUACGACGCCUAUUAUCUGAUCAGCUUGGUGUUGCUAUUAUAUCUCCUACGGUGUUACAUGAUGAUAACAGUAGUGCGAUUAAAAUAGCCACAAACCCUAUGCAACAUGAAAACACAAAGCAUAUAGAGGUGGAAUAUCAUUACAUUAAUUUGGGAACUAGUUGUUGACCGUCUUAUCACUCUUCAACACAUUUCUUCUCAUGAUCAACUUGUCGAUUUGUUUACAAAGGCUAUGACACGCGUACGACAUAGCUACCUUAUCUCCAAAUAUCUACUAUGUGAUCACCGGUAUCAAUUUGAGGGGAGAUGUUAGGCAAUAUUAUAAUUGUAUAGACAUAAUAUUUUCUUUCCUAGAAUAGGAUUUAAUUAUAGAUUGGGUAGUUAUAAUAAUAUAUAUUCUUCCCUAGAAUAGAACUCUAACCUACAGUUGUAUAGCUAUAAGUAUUUCAUUAUGUAUUAUUGAACAGAAGAAAAAUUGCUAUUGAGAAAA